rnacentral:rRNA from 1 species
UACGAAGGGGGCUAGCGUUGCUCGGAAUCACUGGGCGUAAAGGGUGCGUAGGCGGGUCUUUAAGUCAGGGGUGAAAUCCUGGAGCUCAACUCCAGAACUGCCUUUGAUACUGAGAUCUUGAGUUCGGGAGAGGUGAGUGGAACUGCGAGUGUAGAGGUGAAAUUCGUAGAUAUUCGCAAGAACACCAGUGGCGAAGGCGGCUCACUGGCCCGGUACUGACGCUGAGGCACGAAAGCGUGGGGAGCAAACAGG